rfam:Myotis brandtii contig282301, whole genome shotgun sequence.
GGCAGUUCUCUGGUGACGCAGCACCCUGGAAUCGGGCUCCCUCUCUGGUUCUGGGUUAUGUCACUCGAGAACCGCU